rnacentral:rRNA from 1 species
GAUGAACGCUGGCGGCGUGCCUAAUACAUGCAAGUCGAGCGAACGGACGAGAAGCUUGCUUCUCUGAUGUUAGCGGCGGACGGGUGAGUAACACGUGGAUAACCUACCUAUAAGACUGGGAUAACUUCGGGAAACCGGAGCUAAUACCGGAUAAUAUUUUGAACCGCAUGGUUCAAAAGUGAAAGACGGUCUUGCUGUCACUUAUAGAUGGAUCCGCGCUGCAUUAGCUAGUUGGUAAGGUAACGGCUUACCAAGGCAACGAUGCAUAGCCGACCUGAGAGGGUGAUCGGCCACACUGGAACUGAGACACGGUCCAGACUCCUACGGGAGGCAGCAGUAGGGAAUCUUCCGCAAUGGGCGAAAGCCUGACGGAGCAACGCCGCGUGAGUGAUGAAGGUCUUCGGAUCGUAAAACUCUGCUAUUAGGGAAGAACAUAUGUGUAAGUAACUGUGCACAUCUUGACGGUACCUAAUCAGAAAGCCACGGCCAACUACGUG